GCGUUGGUGGUAUAUUGGUUAGCAUAGCUGCCUUCCAAGCAGUUGACCCGGGUUUGGAUUCCCGGCUAAAGCA
rnacentral:tRNA from 1 species